CCUUGCCUACGGGGGGCAGCAGUGAGGAAUAUUGGUCAAUGGCCGCAGGGCUGAACCAGCCAAGUCGCGUGAGGGAUGACGGUCCUAUGGAUUGUAAACUUCUUUUGUCAGGGAGCAAUUGGGUCCACGCGUGGGCUUAGCGAGAGUACCUGAAGAAAAAGCAUCGGCUAACUCCGUGCCAGCAGCCGCGGUAAUACGGAGGAUGCGAGCGUUAUCCGGAUUUAUUGGGUUUAAAGGGUGCGUAGGCGGAAUAUCAAGUCAGCGGUAAAAAUUCGGGGCUCAACCCCGUCGUGCCGUUGAAACUG
rnacentral:rRNA from 1 species